GCAACCCGCCUGCAUGAAGUUGGAAUCGCUAGUAAUCGCGGAUCAGCAUGCCGCGGUGAAUACGUUCCCGGGCCUUGUACACACCGCCCGUCACACCAUGAGAGUCGGGAACACCCGAAGUCCGUAGCCUAACAGCAAUGGGGGCGCGGCCGAAGGUGGGUUCGAUAAUUGGGGUGAAGUCGUAACAAGGUAGC
rnacentral:rRNA from 1 species